UCAGUCAGCGCAGCGUAAUAAUAGAAACUAACCAGGAUUCCCUUAGUAACGGCGAGUGAACUGGGAUGCCAAUAUAUAAUAUGUACCUCGUGUGCAUAAAUUAGCCCGUCGAUACUAUCCUAGCGUAUGUCACCGGUCUUCGGGUCGGUACUCAAAUACGCGGGAAUUGUAGCAUCGUAAUAAUUAAAAGUAUACAGCACACACACACACACACACACAUAAGAACCCACGCCAACCUGCGUACACCACUUGUAAACACACAGCGUCUCCGCGUUGGAAAGCAAGUAUAUAUCCUCUUUGGAUAAGCCAUAGAGUGUGACAGCCACGUUUCGCCCAUAUGAUAGUUACGCACACACACACACACAUACACCAAAGGCGCGGCGUGCGAGUGCACAACGUAUAUAUACUAUAACCUGAGUCGAGUUAUUUGGGACUAUAGCUCUAAUAGUUUGGUUGGUGGUAAUGACGCAUCAAAGGCUAAAUAUUGGUUAGUCGAUGCAUAUUGCGGAGACCGAUAGCAUACAAGUACCGUAAGGGAACGAUGAAAAGCACCCUAUUGAGUUCACGGCGCAGACUCGACAUUCGUGUCUUGUCCAGCGCCCAACAACUACAGUGGGAGUGAAAGAGAGAGU
rnacentral:rRNA from 1 species